GAUGAACGCUGGCGGCGUGCCUAAUACAUGCAAGUCGAGCGAACAGACGAGGAGCUUGCUCCUUUGACGUUAGCGGCUGACGGGUGAGUAACACGUGGGUAACCUACCUAUAAGACUGGGAUAACUUCGGGAAACCGGAGCUAAUACCGGAUAAUAUUUCGAACCGCAUGGUUCGAUAGUGAAAGAUGGCUUUGCUAUCACUUAUAGAUGGACCUGCGCCAUAUUAGCUAGUUGGUAAGGUAACGGCUUACCAAGGCAACGAUACGUAGCCGACCUGAGAGGGUGAUCGGCCACAAUGGAACUGAGACACGGUCCAGACUCCUACGGGAGGCAGCAGUAGGGAAUCUUCCGCAAUGGGCGAAAGCCUGACGGAGCAACGCCGCGUGAGUGAUGAAGGUCUUCGGAUCGUAAAACUCUGUUAUUAGGGAAGAAAAAACGUGUAAGUAACUGUGCACGUCUUGACGGUACCUAAUCAGAAAGCCACGGCUAACUACGUG
rnacentral:rRNA from 1 species